CCUUCGGGUUGUAAAGCUCUUUCAGUCGAGAAGAAAAGGCUGCAGUGAAUAACUGUAGUUUAUGACGGUAUCGACAGAAGAAGCACCGGCUAACUACGUGCCAGCAGCCGCGGUAAUACGUAGGGUGCGAGCGUUAAUCGGAAUUACUGGGCGUAAAGGGUGCGCAGGCGGUUUUGUAAGUCAGAUGUGAAAUCCCCGGGCUUAACCUGGGAAUUGCGUUUGAAACUACAAGACUAGAGUGUGGCAGAGGGAGGUGGAAUUCCAUGUGUAGCAGUGAAAUGCGUAGAGAUAUGGAAGAACAUCGAUGGCGAAGGCAGCCUCCUGGGUUAACACUGACGCUCAUGCACGAAAGCGUGGGGAGCAAACAGGAUUAGAUACCCUGGUAGUCCACGCCCUAAACGAUGUCAACUAGUUGUCGGGCCUUACUAGGCUUGGUAACGAAGCUAACGCGUGAAGUUGACCGCCUGGGGAGUACGGUCGCAAGAUUAAAACUCAAAGGA
rnacentral:rRNA from 1 species